rnacentral:lncRNA from 1 species
AAAGAAAGAAUUUUUUAAAAUUUUAACUUUUACAUUUUAAAUCAAAUACUUACAUAAUUAAAUAUACCAAAUUAAAGCUUUUAUCGUGAUCUUUAAUUUGAUAUUUAUAUUAAAUAUUCAAAUUUCGCAAUUUUAGAAAGAAUUAAAACAAAAAAAAUAAGAAGAUAAAGAAAAAAGAAAUAAAAAGAAAAUAUAAAUUAUAAAUAAACUUUCAAUUUUAUUAUAACUAUAAAAUUGCCACUUAAUUUUAAAAUCAAUUUGAAGCGCUUAAUUAAACUCUCCAGCUCGGCCCUUUGCUUCAUCAUCUGAAUAUGUUUGAAUUUCACAAUUGACAUUUGACCAUUAAUUCUUAGCUACUUGAGAUGGCUAGGGUGUUAGCU